rnacentral:rRNA from 1 species
CCUACGGGAGGCAGCAGUGAGGAAUAUUGGUCAAUGGACGAGAGUCUGAACCAGCCAAGUAGCGUGAAGGAUGACUGCCCUAUGGGUUGUAAACUUCUUUUAUAAAGGAAUAAAACGAGGCACGUGUGCCUUUUUGCAUGUACUUUAUGAAUAAGGAUCGGCUAACUCCGUGCCAGCAGCCGCGGUAAUACGGAGGAUCCGAGCGUUAUCCGGAUUUAUUGGGUUUAAAGGGAGCGUAGAUGGGUUGUUAAGUCAGUUGUGAAAGUUUGCGGCUCAACCGUAAAAUUGCAAUUGAUACUGGCAGUCGUGAGUACAGUUGAGGUAGGCGGAAUUCGUGGUGUAUCGGUGAAAUGCUUAGAUAUCACGAAGAACCCCGAUUGCGAAGGCAGCUUACUAAACUGUGACUGACAUUGAUGCUCGAAAGUGUGGGUAUCAAACAGGAUUAGAUACCCGAGUAGUC